AAAUGAAUAGACGGGGACCCGCACAAGCAGCGGAGCAUGUGGUUUAAUUCGAAGCAACGCGAAAAACCUUACCAAGACUUGACAUCGUAUGACCGCCAUAGAAAUAUGGUUUCCCUUCGGGGCAUAUAGACAGGUGGUGCAUGGUUGUCGUCAGCUCGUGUCGUGAGAUGUUGGGUUAAGUCCCGCAACGAGCGCAACCCUUAUGAAUAGUUGCCAAUAUUAAGUUAGGAACUCUAUUCAGACUGCCGUGGAUAACACGGAGGAAGGUGGGGAUGACGUCAAAUCAUCAUGCCCCUUACGUCUUGGGCUACACACGUGCUACAAUGGCUAUCACAAAGAGCAGCGAUAUGGUAACAUGGAGCGAAUCUCAUAAAAAUAGUCUCAGUUCGGACUGUGGGCUGAAACCCGCCCACACGAAGUCGGAGUUGCUAGUAAUCCCGAAUCAGCAUGUCGGGGUGAAUGCGUUCCCGGGUCUUGUACACACCGCCCGU
rnacentral:rRNA from 1 species